GAUAAUUUAAAAAAAAAAAUCGCAAUAAAACAACUUGCUUGUUUGAACCAAAUGGACAUUUUACACUUAGCAAACUAAUUCCGGAAAAAAAAUGUAAAAUAAGCCUCAUUCUAGUAUGGGCCGUAGACCGGCCCACAUUUGUAUAAUGCGAAAAAAAAGUUUUCAAAAUUCACGGGAAACCCUCUAGAAUCAUGCCUUUGGAUGAGAAGAACAAUCUGUGAAAGAUUCAGCCCAAUCGGUUGAAAACUGAGCUGGCGACAUUGUUCUAUUUUUCAAAAGUACCAUUAAUGUUCCUCCAAAAUAAUUGAAAUAUCAUUGAAAUUGAAAUAUGUUUUUCAUAUAGUGAAAUUCUUAUAAUUUCGAAACAACGGCAGAUAAAGUAUUACGAGUGUUUGAGUGUGUCUACCAGAAAAAAAAGGGUAUUGUUACAUUAUCUACAUGUAUACGGAGAUUAAGCAAUGGAUGAAGUAUUUUAUUUUUGAUCAGAAUUUACUUAAAAUAGCAAUUUUAAGUCGAAUCGGGGCGACAUGAACACUGGCAAUUACGAAUGGAUGUACGCGCAUUGCAUACUGUUAGGCGUUUUCGAGAGUUUGGAAAAAAAUCAAUUCAAUUGGCUUCUUUAGCGGUGUUGAGAUAGUUCCAUAUUCUGAAUCUGCAUGCCAAACUGAGCCGAAAUCCAAAUUUUCAUGAAUUUUGGUGCCCGGGAACCUAUUUAAAAAUCGAUUUAAAGUUUGUAUGGGAGUGAUUUGUCGAAUCACCCCUCAUCGCAUUUUGUACUGGGCGGAGCUGUCAAACAGUUGCCCAGCUGUCAAAAGGUGAUUUCAAAAAAUCUCUUUGUAAUUGAAUUUAGAUAUCAAAAUAAAGUUCUAAAAAUCUGAAAAAAGUCAUACUGGCUUAGAAAAAGGUGUUCUUUCGUAUAAAAUCAAAAAAUCAAUACAUUGUUCUAAAUUUAAAAACCCAAUUAUGUUAGCCUAAAGCAGUGAAGAGAAUUGUCAGACAAAAGAGACACAAAAAAAGUAACAAAGAAGGCGCAGCGAUUACUCUUCAUCCCAACUGGUAACAGAUAAUGACAUGAUCCCGAAAAAUUUUGUUGCAGACAAAACUGUGAGAUAUAUGUAAGAUGUACUGAAUAAAGCUGUGAUAAAGAUAAUGAUCACAGCAGGCGAUAUAGCGCAUUUGAAUGUGAUGCGAACUGUCAAGCAGACAAUGUUAGCAUCCCUGCUUGCGCAGCAACAAUUCCAGGCGUCACCCAACCGCGUUCACUCUUGCCACUUGCGAACCAACGUCAGCCUGGGUAAGUUGUGUGUGCUGCACGUGAGGGGUGAUUCCUUCCCAGAGAAAUCCUGGGAGGAAUCACUCUUCAAUUUGCAUGCGAAAGUGAGAAAAUUACGACAACACAAAAAAAAAAGUGAAAAAUGUGGUGUGAUAUUCAUCGUGGGCUCCGGAUGGUGCAUGCUUCCGGAUGAUUUUUUGUGCUUGGACAAUUAUUAAGGAAGAAAUAAAACACGAGCAAAAUAAACCAGCAGCAGUAACUGGUAAGGAAAAGCUAUAGUGAUUCUGUUAUUUUGUGCUUACAGCGUGUUGUUUGCCGUGGGGGAAAACCUCCGGCAAUGUCCGCUGCCGAAAAGCAAGGUUAUAAAGAUCCUGUUGUUUUGCAUCGUGCAAAUGUCGGAUCGAAUGCUUACAGGGUGUUGUUUGCCGUGGGGGAAAACCCCCGGCAAUGUCCGCUGCCGAAAAGCAAGGUUAUAAAGAUCCUGUUGUUUUGCAUCGUGCAAAUGUCGGAUCGAAUGCUUACAGCGUGUUGUUUGCCGUGGAAGAAGAAUGCCGACAAUGUCCGCUGACGAAAAGCUAGGUUAGAAAAAUCCCGUUGUUUUGCUUCGCGCAAAUGUCGAAUCUGAAGCUUACAUCGUGUUGUUUGUCGUGGCCGAUAAAUCUUAGCAAUGUACGGAAAAAAAUAUUAGAAAAAUCCCGUAGUUUUGAUUCGUGCAAAUGUGGGAUCGAAUGGUUACAAUAUAUCGUUUAUCAAAAGGUGUCGUCAAUGUCGGCUAGCCAAAAGAAGGAUUAUGUUGAUGCAGUUUGUUUUCUGUGGCUAGUGUUUCAAUGAAUGACAAUGCUUUAUUCUCUUUAUCUAUAGAUAGAUGUAUAGAUUAUAUAUGAUGUAUUUUAUCAGAUAUCUCGAAUUUAAACGACGGAGAAAUGGGAUAAAUUCGGGUAUAAGAUUGAAUAAAGACUCAAAGAGCCAGAUUUUUUUUUCAGUAUCGCCAAAGCGGUAAUUAUUUUAAAUAUUACAAGUAUAGAGGCUUGCAUUACAAAAAAAACUUCAACAAAAUCACAUAUGAUUUUUAAGCAUUGCCCUCAAAACUAUUUUGAGAGCAAGAACGGCUGUAUCAAGCGACCCCGAACGAGAGAGAAAAAAAGAGAGAUAAUGAUGACGUCAUUGUGCAAGCUACCAUUACACAAUGGGUCCAGAGCCGUAUUUACGAAGACAAAAAUGUUUGUGCCUUAACCAUAAGUUUUAGGUACAUGGUGUCUUUGGGAAAGUUUCUUCUUAUUUUUCAACUUUUUUUCUCAUUAUUGUAAAAUUAGGGUGGUCCCUCUAGUUUCGCUGAUCCAAACAUCUGCCUCUUAAUAGUUUUAUGUACGUUCACAAAAUGUUCUGCAAAGUUGUAAAAGAACUUAUUUGGAGCAAGUUUGCCGAAGAAACCAUUAUUCCAUCUCUUAUGGUUCCUAACUUCUAUUUUUUAAAAAGAUUCAUGUUAGGGUGAUCCAUGAAUUUCAGUUUUCCUGAAAUAACUUUUAAUUCGUUCGUUUCUCGUAAAUACUUUGUUCCGAGCACUUUGAGAACUAUCAGCGACGCAUAUUUUUUCCAAAGAGCUCAAAGUUCUAACUCGCGUAGUUAAAAAGAUAUUGGCAUUUUUCUUCGAAAAAUAACUUUUUUUUAAAAAGCCAUCUCUCAGAAAGGAGCAAAUGGAUUUUCAAUCUCCCGGUUGCAUUGGAAAGAUCGUACUCUGUUCUAUUUAUGGUGCAAAAACUGCAGGUACCUUUUUUGUUUAAAGCUUUUUAUUGAAUUUGGAAAAUACGAUUUUUUUUAUGGAAAAGCAGUUGUAAUUUUGAAAAUCGAUGAGAUACAAACUUGGCGUCUUCGACAAAAUUGUGAGUUUUUGGCUGCUAUAAAAAGGCCCAGAACAAAGUGUUGCGAAAAAAUCAACACAUAAAAUUAUAUUGAGUAAAAACAGAUUUUCAUAUGAAAAAAUGACACAUUUCAAGCAAAUUCAACUCGUCUUUGUUAGAUAGAUCUAAGUAGCUUGGUAAAUGGUCAUCCAUUUCAUUAUAGAACCAAUGUUUAUUUAUACUGUCAUUACCAUUUAGGCUCAAUGUUGAUAAGAUAUUGUAAAUCAUAUAACUUUGAUAGGCUUUUACGUUAACAUGAAAACGUUGCUGAAAUUGUUCCGCUUUCCAUAUGAAAAUCGGUUUUUAUUCAAUAUAAUUUUAUGUGUUGAUUUUUUCGCAAUACUUUGUUCUGGGCACUUUUAGAGCAGCCAAUAACUCACAAUUUUGUCGAAGACGCCAAGUUUGUAUCUCAUCGAUUUUCAAAGUUACAACUGCAUUACCAUGAAAAAAAUCGUAUUUUCAAAAUUCAAUAAAAAGCUUUAAACAAAAAAGGUACCUGCAGUUUUUUCACCAUAAAUAGAACAGAGUACGAUCUUUCCAAUGCAACCGGGAGAUUGAAAAUCCAUUUGCUCCUUUUUGAGAUAU